rnacentral:lncRNA from 1 species
AUGGCGGCACCCCCACACGUACACACAUCGCCACCGCCAUACCCCGCGGCGCCGCGGCUCGGCCCCGUGAGGGGAGAGCGAGGAUGGUGGGGAGAGUUUGCGUCUUCAAUUAAGCUCCACUUGGCCUGUGAGCCUGCAGACUUAAAGAAUGAUCUCACACAUGUGCCAGACAGACAGGGUCUCUCCCAAGUCCACCCAGCAUGCCUUGAAGAAAGGAGGCAAAGUGAUUUUGGAGACAAAAAAAAUACAUAUAUACAUGCACAUGCAGAGGCAAAGGUUGGCAUACAUGUCAAGAGAACAUUCUCCAGCUGGGGCCUGCAGUAUAGAGAAUUGUAUACUCCAGAGGGCUCAUGGGACCUUAGGCAGAUUAUUAUGGUAAUAUUGGAGACUGCUGUCCUUUCCCUCCCACAGCUGGGCCGCCUCUCUCAUUCAUUGGAGAAACCACCCUUUGUGAAGAGGAAAGAGACACAAAGUGAGAACAUGUUGGUUCUAUGUGUCUCUGUGAAUCCAGACAUUUACUACUCCUGA